CCGGCGACCGGCGCACGGGUGAGUAACACGUAUGCAACCUGCCCGUCUCAGGGGGAUAAUCGUCGGAAACGGCGUCUAAUACCCCGUAUGAAGCUGGACGGCAUCGUCUGGUUUUGAAAGAAUAUCGGAGACGGAUGGGCAUGCGGCGCAUUAGCUAGUUGGCGGGGUAACGGCCUACCAAGACGACGAUGCGUAGGGGUUCUGAGAGGAAGGUCCCCCACACUGGUACUGAGACACGGACCAGACUCCUACGGAAGGCAGCAG
rnacentral:rRNA from 1 species